CUUUGUUUGAGGAGUCAUUUGGACUGUUAGAUUAGAAUCCAAUCAAUGGUUGGAUGCCAAUGUAUAAAUAUUGUUUUUGCUACCCUAUUCAUCAGUUCUUAGGGUUUGCACUGUGUAUGUAUUUUGUGACUUUUCCUCUCUCUUUUGUGUUCAUCUUUCAAUCUCUGAUUGGAAAUUGGUUCUCUCGGAUUCUUUGUAGUAAUCUUGAUACUUCGUGUACUAAAAAGAGGUGGUGUGAGUUAAUCCGUCCUCGUGGCUUCCUUUAAUCAAUAAAGGGAUGCUUGAGGAUUUGGGUUAGGAUUUUGGUCACAGAGAUGGGUACAAUUCGUUUUGUUCGAAGCCCCAUUGAAAUAUCUUCAUUCUUGAUGCCUUGGAUGUAUCUUGAGACUGAUAAAGAAACUCUUGUAUUUUUUAAAGUUUCUGUAAUUUUUCUUAAGUUCAAUGAAUGUUUCAGUCCAAUACUUUGUAUAACAUAGCCAGAUGAAAAAUGCUUGAGUAUGGUAAGGUCCUUACCUUGGUCCAGUGGAUUGAACAUGUAUUUCGUGCAAGAGAUGGGCUUCCGAGGAUUUACUCGAGCCCGAGAGGGUGAUGAUAUAGGCGGCAAUUCUGCUGGCAAUUGUGUUGAUUUGAUUCUGAGAGGACUUUUAAUCACUGCUUUGAAUUUUUUUUGCUCUUCCAUGCAUAGGUUCUUGUUUGAUGACAGGCAAGAGGAGCAAAGACCAGAAUAAGCACAAAAACAACAUACUCAAUCCUAGUAAAAAAACACGAUUUUUGACAGCAGCUGGAAGCCAGGCUAUUAGCAAAUAAGGGAUUGGCAUCAUUUCCAUGAAGAGCAUGGUAAAACUGUCAUAAUUGCACAACUUAAACCAACAAAACCUUUUGAAAGACCACUCUUGCGGAAAUUCUUAACGCAAGUAAUCAAAGUCUGUGUUUGCAAAAGCCCAUGACUGGCUCCAAUCCAUAUGUGCAAGCACAUUUUCCGUGCAGGGGGUUCUGCAGCCCGACCAAUCACAACUAACCAUAUCAUGAAGUAGUCGAAGAAGUUUCAUUAACAAGCCCAGAUAUGAUUCCGAGGUUCCCUCCCAAGUCCUUGAAGCUCACUAAGUUAAGCGAUGUCUGAAAAAAUCCUAACGAAGACUUGAUGUCAUUAAGAGUAUACACCAAGUAUGUUGCACCAUUUACGCACAUUAUUAGGAUCGAAGCAAAGAUUGGGAACCAUCAACUGGACAGCAUGCGGAAUCUAAAGCCCACUGUCCGUCUCCAAAAAUCAUCACCACCACUGAGAUUAGCCAUUGUCGAAUUUCUAGUUAUUUUAAUCCUUUCGGUACAUUUAACAAUGUAAGUAAACGACGUGACGUUAGUUAUUUGUAUAUUGAUAGGAAUGAGUCAAUUUAUUAACGCUUCAUCUAUUCAUAAUAGAAAUGAGAUUAUACA